rnacentral:rRNA from 1 species
AUUGAACGCUGGCGGCAUGCCUUACACAUGCAAGUCGAACGGCAGCACGGGAGCAAUCCUGGUGGCGAGUGGCGAACGGGUGAGUAAAGUAUCGGAACGUGCCCAGUCGUGGGGGAUAACGUAGCGACAGUUACGCUAAUACCGCAUACGAUCUAUGGAUGAAAGCGGGGGAUCGCAAGACCUCGCGCGAUUGGAGCGUCCGAUAUCAGAUUAGGUAGUUGGGGGGGUAAAGGCUCACCAAGCCGACGAUCUGUAGCUGGUCUGAGAGGACGACCAGCCACACUGGGACUGAGACACGGCCCAGACUCCUACGGGAGGCAGCAGUGGGGAAUUUUGGACAAUGGGCGCAAGCCUGAUCCAGCCAUGCCGCGUGCAGGAUGAAGGCCUUCGGGUUGUAAACUGCUUUUGUACGGAACGAAAAGGUUUGGCUUAAUACGUUGAACUCAUGACGGUACCGUAAGAAUAAGCACCGGCUAACUACGUGCCAGCCGCCGCAGUAA